GGGCCGCCAUUGGCCAGCUGCCGCCGGGAGGGGAGGGCGGGGGGCGGGCGAGGCCGAGCGCCCCGCUCCGCCGUGCGUUCGCCGCGCGCGCCCGCUGCCCUCGGGCGCCCGGGAAACUUCGCGGCCGGGGCGCGGGGAGAGCCGGCUGGCUCCGUCGGCAGCACGGUUCCCAGACUGAGGACGGGGGCUCCAGGUGGGAUCCAUAUAUGAUGACAAGAGCUAUAGCGGCCAGCUUGGAGUCAAGGAUGAAGGUCAUAUCUGGAGGAUGAUAGCAUCAUCUGAUCUUUGAUCUGUUACAAGAUCUCACAUUGGAGCAUAUUUGCUUGCCUCAUUAUUUUCCAUACGUAUUACUCCAUGGUAUGUGAAGUGAGAGACUGUCUGAUUCCAAUAACUAAGAAAUGUAGUCUCCAUGAAGUCGGGAGCUGGAGUCUGUUCCCCAGAUCUCCAGGACCUAGAAGAGUGCUUGCCACACCGUAGAUGCACACUAAAUAUUCGUAGAAUGAAUAAGUGAGUGACUGAGUGAAUGAAUGAAUCAAGAAGUACAUCCCAUCCCCAUCACCAGUCUCAUACGAUAUCUAUCACAGAAGCAUCUGGGGAAUUCCAGGCAGUGUGAUUGAAAAGGCAUCUGAUUUUUUUUAAAAAAUCCAGUUGAAUAAAAGAAUAUUGCAUUAUGUCAGUGGCUGGUAUUAAAGCAUAGGAGGGCAUAAACUUGCUCUUCAAGUACUGACAGCUGGCAGAAGAACGCUCAAGUCUGCUCUCCUGGUCUGUCCUGCUCCUUCCUCCUUGCAUAGCUAUGUAUAUUCAAGAGUCACUGGGGACACUCAAUCUGAGAAAUGUAGAAACAGCAUUUUUUUUCCUUUUUGUAAGCCAAACACUUAUUCCCAGUGGGUAACAUUUAGCAGUGAAGUGGUUUUUUUUGAUGCUAGCACUUAUCAGUGUUUCAGAAAUAUAUGGUGUAAUUAAAUUACUCAAAGGUUGUGCUUUAAUCAGGAGCAAAUUUAAUGAACAAUUCAAGCUGUUCAUUGUUAGGAAAUGGGAAGAGAUUGACAGAAUGUUUUCAUUACAGCCUCCAGAGUCAUCCAGAAGAGGGUGCUAAUGUUCUUUAUGAAAUAUACCAAACACAAAUACACUCUCACUCCACAAAGCUUUCUUACAUAACUGAUCAAGUGAUACUAACUAUAUAUAUGCACUGAACGUUAAAAAGAAAAUGUAUACACAUAGGCAGCUCAGGAGUCGAAAUAAUUGCUUAUUGA